UUCAGCAGCUCUGUUUGCUAACAUUCCUCAUUCAAAGCCCGGUUAACUGCCAGACGGGAGGAGCACGCGACUCCAUAGGAAACCCACAUGGCCUCCCCUAUUGUGGUGGGCCUGGAAUCGGAGGUUUAAGGGACGGAGAGGAGCAGGAUGUGCUGGUUUGUGAAUAUGAGACUGUUAUUCGAGGUUAGGGAGGGUUUUUCGAAUUGUAUAGAGCGUUUUGGCGAUUGCAGAGGUAAAUCUGUGGCAGAGAGGGGAAUGCUGAUGUAUGAAAAAGGCGUUGGGCGCAGACGGAGGAGGCUGAUACUUUCCGGGAUGCUGAAUGGGUCUCACGUUGGCGUGCCCGCCUACUCCUUGCAGCGAGUGCAGAGCUGUGUGACUGAAGCUGAAGCUCCCUGUCUCUGCCCCUUCUACAGGAAGGAUAUGUGGGCAUACUGUGCUGCCUAGGAUGUGCCCGGCGGAGAAUACAGCAGUUUUAUCCCGGAUAGCUGAUUCCAGUCUCUCCAAAGAUGGCUCAUUAUUUUGGAAUUACAUGAGUUUUCCUGGCUGGAAGUCAAAACCAAGUUUAGGAAACAAGAGGAGGCGAGCUGAUGCAGGGAGCGCUCAGACGUGACACUGCGGGGAG